rnacentral:rRNA from 1 species
GGCAGCAGUGGGGAAUUUUCCGCAAUGGGCGAAAGCCUGACGGAGCAACGCCGCGUGAGGGAUGAAGGCCUCUGGGCUGUAAACCUCUUUUCUCAAGGAAGAAGAUCUGACGGUACUUGAGGAAUAAGCCACGGCUAAUUCCGUGCCAGCAGCCGCGGUAAUACGGGAGUGGCAAGCGUUAUCCGGAAUUAUUGGGCGUAAAGCGUCCGCAGGCGGCCCUUCAAGUCUGCUGUUAAAAAGUGGAGCUUAACUCCAUCGUGGCAGUGGAAACUGUUGGGCUAGAGUGUGGUAGGGGCAGAGGGAAUUCCCGGUGUAGCGGUGAAAUGCGUAGAUAUCGGGAAGAACACCAGUGGCGAAGGCGCUCUGCUGGGCCAUAACUGACGCUCAUGGACGAAAGCCAGGGGAGCGAAAGGGAUUAGAUACCCCUGUAGUCCUGGCCGUAAACGAUGAACACUAGGUGUCGGGGGAAUCGACCCCCUCGGUGUCGUAGCCAACGCGUUAAGUGUUCCGCCUGGGGAGUACGCACGCAAGUGUGAAACUCAAAUGAAUUGACGG